rnacentral:rRNA from 1 species
ACUCCUACGGGAGGCAGCAGUAGGGAAUUUUGGACAAUGGGCGCAAGCCGGAUCCAGCCAUGCCGCGUGCGGGAAGAAGGUCCUUCGGGUUGUAAACCGCUUUUGUCAGGGAAGAAAAGGUUCUGGUUAAUACCUGGGACUCAUGACGGUACCUGAAGAAUCGGCUAACUACGUGCCAGCAGCCGCGGUAAU